ACCACUGCGAUUGCGCCUCCGAUUCAGCGUCCGUGGCUGCUUCAGGCGCCGUGCCCUACCUCAACGGCGCCGUUGAAAUGUUUGAGCCCAGUCCCGUUCCGGUGCCUGUGGUCUUGGGGGAGCUGUUGACGGGGUCUUAGGAACUGGUUCCGGAGAUUACGACGCACGCGCUCAGCUACUUGGAUUAUCCCAGUCUCUGCCGUCUCUCCAUGACCAAUUCUUUGAUGCGAAAGGCCGCGAAUGAUGAUAACGCUUGGAAGGCCAUGUUUCACAAGAAGAAGAAGCAAUUUGAGCAAAUGAAGAAAGAAGAAGAAGAAAGAAACAAAGUGUGUUUGAAAACGUAUGAAAGAAGAUGAAAUGAAAAAGGUGAACAGGAAAAGGAAAUGACAAAAAAAAGUGUUUAUUUGUGAAAAGUGAAAACAUACUUUAAAAUAUUGAAUGAAG
rnacentral:sRNA from 1 species